GACGAACGCUGGCGGCGUGCUUAACACAUGCAAGUCGAACGGUAAGGCUCCAGCUUGCUGGGGUACACGAGUGGCGAACGGGUGAGUAACACGUGGGUGACCUGCCCUGCACUUCGGGAUAAGCCUGGGAAACUGGGUCUAAUACCGGAUAGGACCGCACCGUGAGGGUGUGGUGGAAAGUUUUUUCGGUGUGGGAUGGGCCCGCGGCCUAUCAGCUUGUUGGUGGGGUAAUGGCCUACCAAGGCGGCGACGGGUAGCCGGCCUGAGAGGGUGGACGGCCACAUUGGGACUGAGACACGGCCCAGACUCCUACGGGAGGCAGCAGUGGGGAAUAUUGCACAAUGGGCGGAAGCCUGAUGCAGCGACGCCGCGUGGGGGAUGACGGCCUUCGGGUUGUAAACUCCUUUCACCAUCGACGAAGGGUUUCUGACGGUAGAUGGAGAAGAAGCACCGGCUAACUACGUGCCAGCAGCCGCGGUAAUACGUAGGGUGCGAGCGUUGUCCGGAAUUACUGGGCGUAAAGAGCUCGUAGGUGGUUUGUCGCGUCGUCUGUGAAAUUCCGGGGCUUAACUCCGGGCGUGCAGGCGAUACGGGCAUAACUUGAGUACUGUAUGGGGAGACUGGAAUUCCUGGUGUAGCGGUGAAAUGCGCAGAUAUCACGAGGAACACCGGUGGCGAAGGCGGUCUCUGGGCGUUACUGACGCUGAGAGCGAAACCUGGGAGCGAACAGGAUAGAUCCCCUGGGGGCCAAGGGCGAAUUUCACAGUGGUAUCUAGCGGAUCCGAAAACGCCGACACCGGGGGAGUUUUUUUUUUAUACAACUUUUUUCCCCUGGGGAGGGUUAAUUAAAAAA
rnacentral:rRNA from 1 species